CUUGUGAUAUCAGUUUAAUGAGAGAGCAUCCAGAGUUGAAGGCAUAUCUCUGCAUUUGUAUUAAAUGAAGGAUUACAAUGAGCAGCACUGUGAUCUCAGUCCCAGAACAGUAAAAACCAGAUGGUCACAGGAGAGCCUCCAGGCGCAGGCAUGUGUCCCCGAGUUGUCUGCAGUAAGGGGGAGUGACCCGCUCUUAUCAGCGGCCUCUGUGUGAGAGAGCGUGCAGCUCUCAGUUAGCCUUUGCUAACGCUCCUUGCAACAUGGACAUUUUGUAAAAGCUCUCACCACCGGAGCACUUUUAUGAAAGUUAUGACAGAUCACACUGAGAAGUAGCUGUUCUCUUCAUACCGUACCUGUGGUUUUCUCUGCACAUCUCACUCUUCCUGGAGCCUCUCACGCCGUCAUGAUGCUAUUUCUGCAGUGCUAUACGCUUCAUGAGCAUCACAUCCACUUACCGUUUCACACCGUUGUUUGGGGUUUCGUCACCUGGAAA